rnacentral:rRNA from 1 species
AGAGCACAUGGCGGAUGCCUUGGCGCCAAAGGCCGAAGAAGGACGUGGUUGGCUGCGAUAAGCCGCGUGAAGCCGUCAACAGGCGUUAUAUGCGCGGAUUUCCGAAUGGGGUAACCCCCUCCGAAACAUGUCGGAGGACCUGCGUGUUGAAUUCAUAGAUGCGCGGGAGGGCACCGGGGGAACUGAAACAUCUCAGUACCUCGAGGAAAAGAGAUCAUUCCCCUAGUAGUGGCGAGCGAACGGGGAAAAGCCUAAACCACUGUGCCGUAAGGUGCAGUGGGGUUGUAGGGCUCGGCAUAUGAGAGUUAUCAAACUGAUUGCUAGCGGAAGGAUUCUGGAAAGUUCCGUCAUAGAGGGUGACAGCCCCGUACGCGAAAGUGAUCAGACUCUCGUCGAGUUCCUGAGUACCACGGGGCACGCUAAUCCUGUGGGAAGCUAGGGAGUCCACUCUCUAAGGCUAAAUACCUUUGGCGACCGAUAGUGAACAAGUACCGUGAGGGAAAGGUGAAAAGUACGGCUGUGAGCCGAGUGAAAUAGAACCUGAAACCGUGUGCUUACAAGCAGUGGAAGGACUAUGCCUCUCCUCGGAGAGGAAUGUCUAACCGCGUGCCUCUUGAAGAAUGAGCGAGCGAGUUACUUCUCUGUGGCUAGGAUAAGGGAGUGACACCCGGAUCCGUAGCGAAAGCGAGUCCGAAUAGGGCGAUCAGUCGCAGGGAGUAGACCCGAAACCCGGUGAGCUACUUAUGGGCAGGUUGAAGCGGCGGUAACACGUCGUGGAGGACCGAACUCAUUAGCGUUGCAAAGCUAUGGGAUGACCUGUGAGUAGUUGGUGAAAUGCCUAACGAACCGGGAGAUAGCUGGUUCUCCCCGAAAUAACUCUAGGGUUAGCCUCGCGUGUUUAGUGGCGGAGGUAGAGCACUGGAUUGGCUAGGGGGCGUCAAGCUUACCAACCCAAACCAAACUCCGAAUGCCGUUACUGGAUGCGUGGGAGUUGGACUACGUGGGAUGAGCUUCGUAGUCAAAAGGGAAACAGCCCAGAUCGUCGAAUAAGGUCCUCAAGUCUCGGCUAAGUGGGAAACGAUGUGAGAUUGUUCUGACAGCCAGGAGGUUGGCUUAGAAGCAGCCACCCUUUAAAGAGUGCGUAAUAGCUCACUGGUCAAACGGUCUCGCGCGGAAAAUGUAACGGGGCUCAAGCCGAGCACCGAUUUCACGAACUCUGCUGUAAAGCAAAGUGGUAGGGGAGCGUUCUGGGAGCAGAGAAGCGCGACGGCGACGACGCGUGGAGCGACCAGAAGUGAGAAUGCUCGCAUAAGUAGCGAAAUUAGAGUGAGAAACUCUAACGCCGGAAGCCUGAGGGUUCAGACGCAAGGGUAAUCCGCGUCUGGUUAGUCGGCCCUAAGCCGAGAGCGAGAGCUGUAGGCGAUGGACAUUCGGUUAAUAUUCCGAAACUACCUGAGUUGAGCGAAGGGGUGACGCAGUAGGAUAGCCCAGCCUGCCUAUCGGACAUGGUAGGUGCUAAGCCGUAAGGGGUUGAGAGACAUAGGUAAAUCCGUGUCUUGACCUGAGCGGUGGGCGGUGCCGCAAGGCCACAAGUGGGUGAUUUCAAACUGCCGAGAAAAGCCUCUAAGCGUUGAAACUUGGGUACCCGUACCGCAAACCGACACAGGUAGGCGGCAUGAGAAAUGCAAGGCGAUCGGGAGAACCUCCGUUAAGGAACUCGGCAAAAUGCACCCGUAACUUCGGGAGAAGGGUGGCUGGCUGACGUGAGUGAUUCACAGAGCGUCGGCCAGUCGCAGCGAAGCGGCUCGACUGACUGUUUAACAAAAACACCGAAGCUUUGAACUGAAGCCCCGGUGAACGGCGGCCGUAACUAUAACGGUCCUAAGGUAGCGAAAUUCCUUGUCGGGUAAGUUCCGACCCGCACGAAAGGAGUAACAAGUUGAGCGCUGUCUCAACGGGGGACCCGGCGAAAUUGAAAUAGUGGUGAAGAUGCCAUUUACCCGCACUAGGACAAAAAGACCCCGUGGAGCUUUACUGUACCCUGGCAUUGAGUUGAGGUUUGUUGUGCGUAGGAUAUCUGGGAGGCUUUGAAGCUGGGUUCGCGGACUCGGUGGAGCCAACGUUGAAAUACCAGACUCGAGAAAUUUCGACCCUAACGUCUAGCCGUCAACCGGCGGACGGACCGUGCCAGGUGGGCAGUUUGACUGGGGCGGUCGCCUCCUAAAAUGUAACGGAGGCGCCCAAAGGUUCCCUCAGGCUGAAUGGAAACCAGCCACUGAGUGCAAAGGCAUAAGGGAGCUUGACUGCGAGACCUACAAGUCGAGCAGAGACGAAAGUCGGGCUUAAUGAUCCCACGACUUCGGUGUGGAACGGUCGUGGCUUAUCGGACAAAAGCUACCCCGGGGAUAACAGGCUGGUGAGAUCCAAGCGUUCACAGCGACGAUCUCGCUCGGCACCUCGAUGUCGGCUCGUCGCAUCCUGGGGCUGAAUUAGGUCCCAAGGGUUGGGCUGUUCGCCCAUUAAAGCGGUACGCGAGCUGGGUUCAGAACGUCGUGAGACAGUUCGGUCUCUAUCCAGUGUGGGCGCAGGGGAUUUGAGGGGAGUUGCCCUUAGUACGAGAGGACCAGGGUGAACGGACCGCUGGUGUGCCAGUUGUCGUGCCAACGGCAUUGCUGGGUAGCCAAGUUCGGCAGUGAUAACCGCUGAAUGCAUCUAAGUGGGAAGCAUGCCCCAAGACUAGAUCCCCCAUCAGUUUACUGAGUAAGCGCGGUCAUAGACCAUGACCUUGAUAGGUCGCAGGUGUAAGCGUGGCAACACGUUCAGCCAAGCGAUACUAAUGCGCGAGGGCUUGCUCU